ensembl:lncRNA
GGCUGGCACAGGGGUCGCUCCCCGAUGCCCGCCGUGCCCACCUUGUGGUUCCGCCAGCUGGGCGGCGGGCGGCCGGGGGAACGGAGGCUUGGCUCUCCCCAGGUUCGGCGGCUACCCCGGCAACUGCUACACCUUGCUCGGGGUCCGCAAGGAAGAGGUGAGCGCGGAGAGCCGGCGGUGGCCCUCCCUGGGCCCCACUCAGACAGCUGUACUCAGAAGCUCACAAUCCGCCUGUCCCCGUUGGCACCCGAUUCGCACCCGAACCCAGCCCCAGUCACUGGCAUGGGCCGUGAGCCGCCGUCGCUGCCGCAAGCUCGGUCAGCAAGCUGGAGGUGCAGAGGCUAACGGCCCCCCACGGGGCUUCUCCCCAAGGCGCCCCCGCCCCCACGUCAGCACAAGCGGGCUCACCUGCAGCUUUGAGAGACAGGGAACUGUUUUCUGGAUAGCGGAAGCUGGUUUCCUGCAGGAUGAACCCUUGCUGUUGUGCGGGGUCCCCAAGAGCAGACCCCAAGGAAAGGCCCAGGAUCAGUUCACGGGUGCGGAUGUCACCCUGGGAAGCACACAGGGGACAAGGGCUGUGCAGAAGGAGGUGCUCCUAGGAGCACUCCAGAGGGGUUCACCACCUGUGAGCUUGUGGGCUUGUGGGCUUGUGAGUUCAACCCUGCCCCAACCCGCCUGAGACAUUGUAGAAAAACCCUCAAGAUGACCAUCUGGUCCCUUCCUGGCUGAGGGCCAAGGAGGCACAGGUAGGGGUCCAGGAGUUGCCGUGGAACACCUCCCCUGAAAGCCCCUCUGCUCCCAUUUGUUGGAGGAGGAGGGAGAGCAGCAACUUUCCAUGGGUCAGAGCUGCGACCCAGUCUGACAGCUCCCUGCGAAGGGGCUGUCCCUAAGGAGCCCUCUCCAGGCUCACAUGUUGGGGAGACAGGGCAGAUGGGCUGAGACUCAGGGCAGGACUGCGCAUGGCACACUGCAGGCAAGCAGCCUGCAGUUACCAACAGGAAAAGUUCCCAACUCAAAAUGGUUCCAGCAAAAAAAUGCAGUUUCGUGGGCUCCUCUAUUGAAAACACAGGAGGCUCUGUGAGCUCAGGGCUGACUGGAACCAGGUGUUUGAACAAUUUUGCACUGCUUUCCCAGCACUGGCUGUGUUUUCAGGCAGAUUCUUCAGGCAGAUUCUCCUCUCCUGGUAGGGAAGACAUCUUGCAGUGUGGGCUGACGUCCCAAGAGCCCAAGACAACAUCCUCUAGCUUAAUACCCAGCACAAGGCAUGUUGUCCCACAGGUUCCCCCUAAGAGCCCCAGGACCCGCCUCUCACUGGCGUCAUCAGGUCCCUGCUUGGUGAGGCCUGCCUGCAUCCUGGAUCUGCCUCGGAUCCACAGGCUAGGGUCAACCCCAUGUGACUCCACGUGGUUCCCCAAAGAGCCCAGGGUGCCACACGGCCAUGCCUCUGAUGUCCCAUAACAUCUGCCCGCUAGACCUGGGGAAGACUGCGGAGGCUUGAAUGAGGUCAGGAUGGGGAAGGAAGGGAAGGAGGGUCUCUGUAGGCCUCAAGGUGCCCCUGGCCUGUCUGAAAAGAACGUGAGGGCGUGGCAGGGGCCACCUUGGAGGCCCGGAAGUGUACAGGUGCCUUGAGGCUGGUCCCUCCCACAAGCUAACCUGAAGGGCGGGCACCACAGUGUGCAGCUGGGGGCUGCCUCGCCGAGCUGGCCCAGGAUCUCCUGGUCAUCCUGGUGGACAAACAGGUCAUCAACACCAUCCGUGAGAUUCCUGUACCUCUGCUCCCCGGGGUGAGUCUCCCACCCCACCCCAUCUGCCUGGAAAUCAUCCAGGGACCGUGGGACCCAGGAGUGGCUGGGGUAGCCAGCCCCGCUGGGAGAAGAGGUUGUGGGGAAGGCAGGUCCAGCCCACCUGGACCCCAGCGACUCGGGCACGUGCAGGGGAGGCUCCACCCAGCUACUGGCCCAUAGGCUCUCUGAUGCCCCCACCCUGUGUUGCUGCUGCAGGCUCUUAAUGGGGUCUCUUGCCCCGGAACUGCCUCUGGAGGGCAGGAGGCCUGGGUUCCUGGGUGCUGCCCCAACCACUGGUCCAUCCUGUGUGUAGCCCACUGGGGCUGGGCCAGGCAUUCUUCAGGGAGGGAGGAGCAAGAGGAGGCCCCAGGAUUCCGGUGCCCUAAUGGGGACACUGGGGUCCCAUCCCCCGGUUCCACCCACUGGCACUACUGUGGCCGCAAUCAAGGCACCUGGGACCGCAGCCCUGCCCACGCCAGAGCCCUUGCACUGACCACCCAGGGAUGCCUCACAUCCGGCCCAAGGCUGGACCCAAGCUGGACCCUCACCAUCCCCUGCACACCUCAUCUCCCUGGAGACUCCUGGGCACCACAAACCACGCUGUCAGACCUUAGCCCAGCCACGUGCCCUCUGUGGUGUGGCCCUGACUCUCAGGGCAGGCGGUGCUGGGAAGCUGAAUUCAAGAUUACAGCAGACAGGGUGUAGCUGGACGAGUGCAAGUGUGGGCAGCGAAGUGCCCACACACUCGCAUCCUGGGGUCCUCAUCCGCUCCCUCCUGACGUAGCUCCUGCCGCCUCCUCUGAGCAGCGCUGACUUGCCUCAGGGAGAUUAGGGGGAGGCUGGCACGCUGCCCCACCAGGGGGACACGGGUGCCGAAGGCCUGCCCCUCGCUCUGCCCACCCUGGGCCCCAGGGGUGGGCUCAGAUGCCCUCAGGGCCGUCUUCCUGGUGUUUCUGUCUCCAGGAAGCCAAAGGCUGCUGGCAAGGGUUCCGGCUCUGCUCCCAGAAGAAGAAGGCAGGGGUUUCCCUGGAGGCCGGCAGGAGCUCUGGGAGGUGGACUACCAGAUUUUGCCCUUCGAGGGCCUAUUUGACAGAGGGGAGAACCGCUGCACAGUCAAAAGUGCUGCAUCUGAGCAAGGCAUUGCUCUGAGCCUCCGGCGGCCAGAGCAACAGGGUUGACGCCAGUGGCUUCGUUCUGCGGAGGAAGAGGGCAGAAGGCACACAGGGAGGGACAUGCUUCUUCAUAACUCCUGCAGUUCGGCUUCGUUACCACCUUCGGGGCCGCCUGCCCGCUCGCGCCACUCUUCGCGCUGCUCAGCAAUUGGGUGGAGAUCCACCUGGACGCGCGCCAGUUCAUCCGCCGGGUGGCCGAGCGCGCGCUGGACAUGGGCAUCUGGUUCCGCAUGCUGGAGGCAUCCCGCACCUGGCGGGCAUCAGCAAC